UACGGGGGGGCAAGCGUUGUUGGAAUUACUGGGCGUAAAGGGCGCGUAGGCGGCCUUCUAAGUCAGACGUGAAAUCCCCCGGCUUAACCUGGGAACUGCGUCUGAUACUGGGAGGCUUGAGUAUGGGAGAGGGAUGUAGAAUUCCAGGUGUAGCGGUGAAAUGCGUAGAUAUCUGGAGGAAUACCGGUGGCGAAGGCGGCAUCCUGGACCAUAACUGACGCUGAGGCGCGAAAGCUAGGGGAGCAAACGGG
rnacentral:rRNA from 1 species